CGCGGCUCAGCUUCACUCCGCUCCGCUCGCCUCUUCCUCUCCCUCUUCUUCCUCCAGCAGCCUCCGCGUCUGUGUGAGCGUGUGCAGCUCGGGAUGUGACAGCAUGCUGGCUGCUGCGUUUCCAUUGGGAAAAAGAACCAAACUAAAAAAAAAAAAUAAGCUCAGCCCUCUCUGUGUUUUUUUUUUUGUCUUCUUCUUCUUUCCCGUCCGUCUUUCUGCUGCUCUUAUUGUCUUUUGCCGACAGUGAUAAAGAGAGCAGUUAAAUCGGGGGGGCCCUUGGUGAUCCUUUCUUUCUUUUUUUUGGAAUAAGAACAUAAGCAUCGCUGUUUUCUGACUUUGAGACAGAAGAGAGAAGAGACUCCUCUGGAAUUUCCCAAGGAAUUUAUCCGGACGGCUCCGUCGCCGGAGCUUUAUGUUCUCCUGCCUGGGUGCAUAAUGUUGCCAACUUUUCCACACUAGGGAAAUUCUGAGGAGUUCUGUUCUGUCUUCGCUCUAGUUUGAGGCAGCAAUCGCAAUUGUUGGUUCCAAAAAGGGUGGGGGAUAAAGGGGGCUUUAGUGUCUCUGGUGUGUCGGCGAGGUCGGCCCGCAGCAGCAAGCAUGGUGGCACCUGCAUGAGCCCGUCGGAGGAGCCUCGUUUCUCUUGUUCUCUUUCCUGAGAUGUCAACCACAGGAUGAGGCCUGCGGCAGAAUCCCAGCUUAACAAGUCAGAACUAUCCUCUUGACUCAGGUCUCAGGAGAGAGAAUGUUCCAUGACUUUCACACCUUCAACCUCAAGGCUGUGAAUACCCUGCAUCUGAGAAAUCAGACCAGACUGACUCACAGGGCUCUGUGAGCCAGUGCCACCGAGGCUGCCAAAGCAUGCUGGUGCCAAGCUGUCCCACCAUGCACAGAACCAGACCCACGCUGCUGCUGCUGCCGCCGCUGCUGCUGCUGCUGAUCCAGGGUCUGCUCCUCCACCUCGCCGACGCUCAAAGUAAGUGGACCAUACGCUUUAGG